CGUUCGUCUCUCACUUUUCAGGCAGCCAAUGCUGUCUCUGCCGUCUCUACUCUCCUAAACUCUCACUUAUCGAUCAACUUCGUUCUAAGUUUCUCACUCUUGAGGGGGUUGAACUCACUCGUUCGUCCUUUACUCUCCGACAGUUGCUGCUGUCUCCACCAUUCAUUCGAUCCCCACAUAUGCACAAGAACCACCAGAACUCAUCUCCCCUUCCCCUCAAAACUUCAGUUGAAGUCUAAGUGUAGCUUCGGGCGAGUCGACAUUAUUAGACAUUGGGUUGGUCGCAACUCCAUUUGAGAAGAAACCAACUACUGGUGCUCAUUUGAGGUAUCUUACCACUGUAAUUCUACCAUUAUUGCUUCUAAAAUUUAGCCUAAAUUAGAAAAUUUUUGUGAAUUAAAGAUAUGUGGGAAUCCCUAAUAGGUGAAACAUAGUCCCAAAACCCUAUUCUACUCAUUAUUGGGGGAACAAAUUGGGAUUUUACUUUUGAAUUAGCGAAUUUCUUGUCAAUUAUAAUUGUCUUCUGAAAUACCAAAUCUAAGUAUGUGUUUUGGACAAUUUGGGGCUUUGGCUAGUAGAGGAUUGAGGUUGACAAACUAGCUUUUAUGGAUAAAAAAGGAGCUCCUUGGCAGUUGUACACAACCAAAUCAACACUUCGAGAAAUCGUAGCUAAUUUAUUGGAGAAAAUGCAAAGCAGUAGUGCGCCUUCAACAAGUUGCUCAAGAUUAGCCACACCUCAAGGAGUAGGUAAGCUACUGAUUAACGAGCUUUAUUUUAUGCAAUU
rnacentral:lncRNA from 1 species